UCUCCUAGAAAUCAAGAAGAAAAUCACAGAGACCCCAGCAUGGAAAUGGGUGCAGCAUGUGAGCUGUGAGUGCCCCAAACACAGAUGGCCCAGGAACUCAGCAAAGGCUUCCACUUCUUGUUUGACCCAAGAAAUGUCAUGCAAAGGGUCAUGGCUUCCUUGGGGCCCAGUCGGUGCAGAGCAGACCCUCCAUCCCAGGCCCAGUCUAAUAGAGAAGACAGUUGGAGAAUCCCCAUUUAGAAUGAUAUGCCUGUGGGAGACAGAAGCCCAGAAAUGAGGCAGCCUCAUCCAGCCUGCACCAUCAGAGAAGACAGGAGGAAAGGACAGCUAUGACCUAAAGGAUGAUCUGGAGCCAGG
rnacentral:lncRNA from 10 species